rnacentral:rRNA from 1 species
UGGUAAUGCCGGAUGCUCCAGUUGAUCGCAUGGUCUUCUGGGAAAGCUUUCGCGGUAUGGGAUGGGGUCGCGUCCUAUCAGCUUGACGGCGGGGUAACGGCCCACCGUGGCUUCGACGGGUAGCCGGCCUGAGAGGGCGACCGGCCACAUUGGGACUGAGAUACGGCCCAGACUCCUACGGGAGGCAGCAGUGGGGAAUAUUGCACAAUGGGCGCAAGCCUGAUGCAGCGACGCCGCGUGAGGGAUGGAGGCCUUCGGGUUGUAAACCUCUUUUAUCGGGGAGCAAGCGUGAGUGAGUUUACCCGUUGAAUAAGCACCGGCUAACUACGUGCCAGCAGCCGCGGUAAUACGUAGGGUGCAAGCGUUAUCCGGAAUUAUUGGGCGUAAAGGGCUCGUAGGCGGUUCGUCGCGUCCGGUGUGAAAGUCCAUCGCUUAACGGUGGAUCCGCGCCGGGUACGGGCGGGCUUGAGUGCGGUAGGGGAGACUGGAAUUCCCGGUGUAACGGUGGAAUGUGUAGAUA